CUAACAUUUUUUAUGGUGUUAAUGGUUAAAUUAGGAAAUGGGGUUUGCUAAUAGGUGUGUUCCAGAUUGUGGGAUUGUUUUGGAUUUUGAUUUAGGUGUAUUUGUGUACAGGAACUUCACAGAUUGAAUUUGAAGCUCGGAGAUCAGUUGGAUGGUGAAUCUCAGAGAUCAGUUGGAUGGUUUUGCGAUGAAUCUGAUCGUCGAUCCAAGAAGUGCAUGGUUCUAAGAGAUUAAUCAGGUUUGUAUUUUCAGUCUUUAAGAAGCAUUCAAAGUCAGGUAUUCUGACACAUAUAUUGGAAAUGUCAGAAAUAGGUUAAACUCCACAGUCAGGUAUUUAAUAAGGUCUUACUUUAUCAAGAUCCUGUUGGUGAUAGACAUGUAAGUUUCAAAGCUGAACUCAUCUUAUUCAAAUUUGUGUACGGUAGUUGGUUCCUUGCAGCUCAUCUUACAAAUCCAGUGGUUUUUCUAAAAAAGUCAUGUAUUGUUGCAGAUUGUUGGUACAUGACAUACCAGGAGACAACCCAAAUUCCAUUCCAUUAAUUUUUGUUUAUAUUGAUAAAUCGAUCCAUUUUCAAUAUAUUUUUGUUUGUUUUCGGUUUCAAUUAGUUAUUAUGAUUUGGUUUUUGCCCUAAUGCAUGGGGUAGAAAGGACAAUUAAUCACUACACUUUAAGCAUCAAGAACCUUAGACUGUACUGCAGCAAGAACGACUAAUGAAUAUGCAUGGGCAACCUUGAAGAUUAUAUCGAGCCAUUAAAGGUGUGCCUGAGUCGGUACCUGGAGAUAAAUUUUUAUUCCGCUUCCUUUUAAGCCAUAGAGUAUAGAAAUUGUAAAUUUUGUUGGCUUACUUCUGAUGUUUUUUUAUCUGGCAACGGCCUAUGUGUUUGAAUGAAUUGUGGAAAAUUAUCAUGCUGUUCUAUGAUAUUUCCUGUAUUUGUUGGUUCAAGUUUGAUUCAGCCCUAGGUUAUUCACCAAAACAGACUGGAGAGGCCCCGGUCUUUGCGGCCAUAAGGAAGAUUUUAACUGUGGAGGUUGAUUAUCAUAUUGUAAGGCAUUCCCUUAACGUAGAUCCAAAUGUUACUCAAAGCUUCAUCUUCAUGAAUUCCAUCUCCCGCUUCAGAAUUAUUCCGUGCAGCCACCAUCUCCUGCAUUAGAAUUGGUUGUUUUGCUCGCAGUAAAGUAUUGUUCCUUCUAUACAAGGUCUGGAUACUAACUAAUGAAGUGUCGAUAUAUGUAAUCUUUUUGUUUGUGUUAAUGAGCAUUCCAAUAUAUGAUUGUUUCAUGUUCUCUCCACAUUUAAUGCGUGGGAAGUCGAUACUGUGUUGUGCAGGUUGAAAGUCUGACGUAAAACAUGUCCAAGGUCUAGAUGAUAUUAACUGGAUGCAUGUCCGUUAUAAGUCGUUGAAAAACGCGCAACGUUAAGCAAUCAUUUGGAGGAUGCCAAGCUUCUAAUCUUAGUAGAAGCAAUCAUUUGGAGGAUGCCAAGCUUAUAGUUGUUGUGCCAUCUCUUACUAAUAUCCCUUACUUUGUUUGAAUUUUUAGUCGUUGAAAAACGCGCAACGUUAAGCAAUCAUUUGGAGGAUGCCAAGCUUCUAAUAUUUUGUGUAUCGAAUUUUCUUUUCUAUGUCCAUUUGCAGGUUUCCUAAAGCGCCCUUAUACUACCAAAUAUAUUGGUUGACUAUAUCUGUAUUUUAAAGUUUGUUAAAUGCUAUAAACUGUGCAUGUCUCACAAGUAGAGGAAUGUGUACCUGUGAUGAAAUACGUUUACUCAAAAAUGUCAUAGAUAGUGACUAUUAAGUGUUUCCUUCAGAGUCUUGAUAUUGCUAUUAGAGGGUUGAGGCUACAAAUGGGACGAACUGCUCCCUUUGCUACCCACACCGGCCUCAUUUUCAAACCCAUAUUUACACCUUCGGAGGCAAUAACAAUAUUCAAGGCAAGCUAAUUUUCACUAAAUUCGAAAGAGCAACAACCUCAGGGUGUUCUAUCAUACUGAAGAAGAAACAGAUUUUUCCAAGGCCAUUGGUAAAUAUGAUGGUAAAAUAAAUGGAACUUUACGAAUUCCAUCUGACAAAGCUAAAGCAGCACAUUUUUCCUGAAGUGGAUGUCCUUUUGUUCAAGGAAUUAUUUGCUGGAGUUGAUAGAUCUUUGACAACAGGUGUAUUGUUCGGAGUUGACAGAUAGCCUACUAAUUUUAUGAUAUCUCAGGUUUUCUCA